rnacentral:rRNA from 1 species
UGACGGUACUUGACUAAGAAGCCCCGGCUAACUACGUGCCAGCAGCCGCGGUAAUACGUAGGGGGCAAGCGUUAUCCGGAUUUACUGGGUGUAAAGGGAGCGCAGGCGGCCAUGCAAGUCAGAAGUGAAAGCCCGGGGCUCAACCCCGGGACUGCUUUUGAAACUGUAAGGCUAGAUUGCCGGAGAGGUAAGCGGAAUUCCUAGUGUAGCGGUGAAAUGCGUAGAUAUUAGGGGGAACACCAGUGGCGAAGGCGGCUUACUGGACGGUAAAUGACGCUCAGGCUCGAAAGCGUGGGGAGCAAACAGGAUUAGAUACCCUG